rnacentral:rRNA from 1 species
GACGAACGCUGGCGGCGUGCUUAACACAUGCAAGUCGAACGGAAAGGCCCUGCUUUUGUGGGGUGCUCGAGUGGCGAACGGGUGAGUAACACGUGAGUAACCUGCCCUUGACUUUGGGAUAACUUCAGGAAACUGGGGCUCAUACCGGAUAGGAGCUCCUGCUGCAUGGUGGGGGUUGGAUAGUUUCGGCGGUUGGGGAUGGACUCGCGGCUUAUCAGCUUGUUGGUGGGGUAGUGGCUUACCAAGGCUUUGACGGGUAGCCGGCCUGAGAGGGUGACCGGCCCCAUUGGGCCUGAGAUACGGCACAGACUCCUACGGGAGGCAGCGGUGGGGAAUAUUGUACAAUGGGAGGAAGCCUGAUGCAGCACAGCCGCGUGGGGGAUGACGGCAUGCGGGUUGGAAUCCGCUGUCGCCUGUGACGAAGCGUGAGUGACGGUAAUGGGUAAAGAAGCACCGGCUAACUACGUG